AUUGAACGCUAGCGGGAUGCUUUACACAUGCAAGUCGAACGAGUGGCGGACGGGUGAGUAAUAUAUCGGAACGUGCCCAGUGGCGGGGGAUAACUACUCGAAACGGUUGCUAAUACCGCCUACAAUGGGCGGGGCCGAGAUGGGAUUAGCUGGGUGGUGGGGUAAAGGCUCACCAAGGCAAGGAUCCGUAGCUGGUUUGAGAGGAAGACCAGCCACACUGGGACUGAGACACGGCCCAGACUCCUACGGGAGGCAGCAGUGGGGAAUGUGGGACAAUGGGGGAAAACAUGAUCCAGCCAUGCCGCGUGUAUGAGAAGGCCUUCGGGUUGUAAAGUACUUUUGGCAGGGAAGCGGUAUCUGCAGAAUAAGCACCGGCUAACUCCGUGCCAGCAGCCGCGGUAAUUC
rnacentral:rRNA from 1 species